rnacentral:snRNA from 1 species
AUACUUACCUGGCAGGGGAGAUACCAUGAUCACGAAGGUGGUUCUCCCAGGGCGAGGCUCAUCCAUUGCACUCCGGCCGUGCUGACCCCUGCGAUUUCCCCAAAUGCGGGAAAGUCGACUGCAUAAUUUCUGUAGUGGGGGAGUGG